CCUACGGGAGGCAGCAGUGAGGAAUAUUGGUCAAUGGGCGGAAGCCUGAACCAGCCAAGCCGCGUGAGGGAUGAAGGUACAGAGUAUCGUAAACCUCUUUUGUCAGGGAACAAAGGCGGGGACGCGUCCCCGGAUGAGUGUACCUGAAGAAAAAGCAUCGGCUAACUCCGUGCCAGCAGCCGCGGUCAUACGGAGGAUGCGAGCGUUAUCCGGAUUUAUUGGGUUUAAGGGGUGCGCAGGCGGUCUGUUAAGUCAGCGGUCAAAGCCCGGGGCUCAACCCCGGCCCGCCGUUGAAACUGGCAGUCUCGAGUUGGAGAGAAGUAUGCGGAAUGCGCGGUGUAGCGGUGAAAUGCAUAGAUAUCGCGCAGAACUCCGAUUGCGAAGGCAGCAUGCCGGCUCCACACUGACGCUGAGGCACGAAAGCGUGGGUAUCGAACAGGAUUAGAUACCCUGGUAGUC
rnacentral:rRNA from 1 species